rnacentral:rRNA from 1 species
CCUACGUGUGGCAGCAGUGGGGAAUAUUGCGCAAUGGGCGAAAGCCUGACGCAGCGACGCCGCGUGAGGGAUGAAGGUCUUCGGAUCGUAAACCUCUGUCAGCAGGGAAGAACGGUCACUGUGCUAAUCAGCAGUGAAUUGACGGUACCUGCAAAGGAAGCACCGGCUAACUCCGUGCCAGCAGCCGCGGUAAUACGGAGGGUGCGAGCGUUAAUCGGAAUUACUGGGCGGAAAGCGCUCGUAGGCGGUAUGUCAAGUCAAGGGUGAAAUCCCCGGGCUCAACGUGGGAACUGCCUUUGAAACUGGCAGACGGGAGUGGUUGAGAGGAUAGUGGAAUUCCAGGUGUAGGAGUGAAAUCCGUAGAUAUCUGGAGGAACAUCAGUGGCGAAGGCGACUAUCUGGCACAUAACUGACGCUGAGGAGCGAAAGCGUGGGUAGCAAACAGGAUUAGAUACCCGUGUAGUC